UUAAGUCCCGUAACGAGCGCAACCCUUGUCCUUAGUUACCAGCACGUUAUGGUGGGACACUCUAAGGAGACUGCCGGUGACAAACCGGAGGAAGGUGGGGAGUGACGUCAAGUCAUCAUGGCCCUUACGGCCUGGGCUACACACGUGCUACAAUGGUCGGUACAAAGGGUUGCCAAGCCGCGAGGUGGAGCUAAUCCCAUAAAACCGAUCGUAGUCCGGAUCGCAGUCUGCAACUCGACUGCGUGAAGUCGGAAUCGCUAGUAAUCGUGAAUCAGAAUGUCACGGUGAAUACGUUCCCGGGCCUU
rnacentral:rRNA from 1 species